GACGAACGCUGGCGGCGUGCUUAACACAUGCAAGUCGAACGGAAAGGCCCUGCUUUUGUGGGGUGCUCGAGUGGCGAACGGGUGAGAAACACGUGAGUAACCUGCCCUUGACUUUGGGAUAACUUCAGGAAACUGGGGCUAAUACCGGAUAGGAGCUCCUGCUGCAUGGUGGGGGUUGGACAGUUUCGGCGGUUGGGGAUGGACUCGCGGCUUAUGAGCUUGUUGGUGGGGUAGUGGCUUACCAAGGCUUUGACGGGUAGCCGGCCUGGGAGGGUGACCGGCCACAUUGGGACUGAGAUACGGCCCAGACUCCUACGGGAGGCAGCAGUGGGGAAUAUUGCACAAUGGGCGGAAGCCUGAUGCAGCAACGCCGCGUGCGGGAUGACGGCCUUCGGGUUGUAAACCGCUUUCGCCUGUGACGAAGCGUGAGUGACGGUAAUGGGUAAAGAAGCACCGGCUAACUACGUG
rnacentral:rRNA from 1 species